rnacentral:rRNA from 1 species
UACGUAGGGGGCAAGCGUUGUCCGGAUUUAUUGGGCGUAAAGAGCGUGUAGGCGGCUGGGUAGGUCCGUUGUGAAAACUCGAGCUCAACCUCGAGACGCCGAUGGAAACCCUCCAGCUAGAGUCCGGAAGAGGAGAGUGGAAUUCCUGGUGUAGCGGUGAAAUGCGCAGAUAUCAGGAAGAACACCCGUGGCUAAGGCGGCUCUCUAGUACGGUACUGACGCUGAGACGCGAAAGCGUGGGAGCAAACAGG